AAGUAAGGUAAUAAAAAAACUCAUAUAUACCUGUGAUAUGGACAGGAGUUUCUACGGCUGACCUUAAAAUAGCUGCUAUGGGUGAAGUAUACAUAUAU
rnacentral:ncRNA from 2 species